rnacentral:rRNA from 1 species
UACGGAGGGGACUAGCGUUGUUCGGAAUUACUGGGCGUAAAGCGCACGUAGGCGGAUUUGUAAGUCAGGGGGUGAAAUCCCGGGGCUCAACCUCGGAACUGCCUUUUGAUACUGCAAAUCUCGAGUCCGGAAGAGGUGAGUGGAAUUCCUAGUGUAGAGGUGAAAAUUCGUAGAUAUUAGGAAGAACACCAGUGGCGAAGGCGGCUCACUGGUCCGGUACUGACGCUGAGGUGCGAAAGCGUGGGGAGCAAACAGG